rnacentral:rRNA from 1 species
AUUGAACGCUGGCGGAAUGCUUUACACAUGCAAGUCGAACGGCAGCACGGGGGCAACCCUGGUGGCGAGUGGCGAACGGGUGAGUAAUACAUCGGAACGUGCCCAGUCGUGGGGGAUAACGUAGCGAAAGUUACGCUAAUACCGCAUACGAUCUACGGAUGAAAGCGGGGGACCGUAAGGCGCCGCGCGAUUGGAGCGGCGGAUGUCAGAUUAGGUAGUUGGUGAGGUAAAGGCUCACCAAGCCGACGAUCUGUAGCUGGUCUGAGAGGACGACCAGCCACACUGGGACUGAGACACGGCCCAGACUCCUACGGGAGGCAGCAGUGGGGAAUUUUGGACAAUGGGCGCAAGCCUGAUCCAGCCAUUCCGCGUGCAGGACGAAGGCCUUCGGGUUGUAAACUGCUUUUAUACGGAACGAAAAGGCUCUGGUUAAUACCUGGGGCUCAUGACGGUACCGUAAGAAUAAGCACCGGCUAACUACGUGCCAGCCGCCGCCGUAA